CCGAUGAUCAUGCAGACUCUGUUUCUAUUGAGAGAUAAAAGGCUGGUUGAAUGAGUUGCCUGCGAAAACUACUUCAUCUGUAAGAAAACAGGCGUCUGCACCAGUGACUACAGUUGCCAUGGAGAUGAAAUGUCACAACGACAUAUUCAUGGGUCAGUGCUCUAAAAUGAGUCUCUCUGGGGAGAGAGAGGAGGGGGGCCCUGCCUCUAAAAUGAGUCUCUCUUGGGAGAGAGAGGAAGGGGGCCCUGCCUCUAAAAUGAGUCUCUCUGGGGAGAGAGAGGAGGGGGGCCCUGCCUCUAAAAUGCAUCUCUCUGGGGGACAUGACACCAAAGC